UCGGGAAUUUUGGGCAAUGGGCGAAAGCCUGAUGACGCAACGCCGCGUGGAGGAUGAAGGUCUUCGGAUUGUAAACUCCUGUUGCUCGGGACGAAAAGCUUCGACCUAACACGUCGAAGUCUGACGGUACCGAGUGAGGAAGCCCCGGCUAACUCUGUGCCAGCAGCCGCGGUAAUACAGAGGGGGCAAGCGUUGUUCGGAAUUACUGGGCGUAAAGGGCGCGUAGGUGGCCUUCUAAGUCGAACGUGAAAUCCCUGGGCUCAACCCAGGAACUGCGUCCGAGACUGGGAGGCUUGAAUCCGGGAGAGGGAUGCGGAAUUCCAGGUGUAGCGGUGAAAUGCGUAGAUAUCUGGAGGAACACCGGUGGCGAAGGCGGCAUCCUGGACCGGUAUUGACACUGAGGCGCGAAAGCCAGGGGAGCAAACGGGAUUAGAUACCCUAGUAGUCCCUGAGCGGGCUGGCAAGGCGCAU
rnacentral:rRNA from 1 species